rnacentral:rRNA from 1 species
AGAGUUUGAUCCUGGCUCAGGAUGAACGCUAGCUACAGGCUUAACACAUGCAAGUCGAGGGGCAGCAUGAAACUUAGCUUGCUAAGUUUGAUGGCGACCGGCGCACGGGUGAGUAACACGUAUCCAACCUACCGUUUACUACGGGAUAGCCUUCUGAAAAGGAGAUUAAUACCGUAUGGUAUUCUAAAGUUUCAUGACAUUAGAAUUAAAGGUUUACCGGUAAUCGAUGGGGAUGCGUUCCAUUAGAUAGUAGGCGGGGUAACGGCCCACCUAGUCAGCGAUGGAUAGGGGUUCUGAGAGGAAGGUCCCCCACAUUGGAACUGAGACACGGUCCAAACUCCUACGGGAGGCAGCAGUGAGGAAUAUUGGUCAAUGGGCGAGAGCCUGAACCAGCCAAAGUAGCGUGAAGGAUGACUGCCCUAUGGGUUGUAAACUUCUUUUAUAAAGGAAUAAAGUGGUCCACGUGUGGAUUUUUGUAUGUACUUUAUGAAUAAGGAUCGGCUAACUCCGUGCCAGCCGCCGC